AUACGGAGGGUGCAAGCGUUAAUCGGAAUUACUGGGCGUAAAGCGCGUGCAGGCGGGUGGACAAGUCUGAUGUGAAAGCCCCGGGCUCAACCUGGGAACUGCAUUUCGAACUGUCCGACUAGAGUCUUGUAGAGGGGGGUAGAAUUCCGGGUGUAGCGGUGAAAUGCGUAGAGAUCUGGAGGAAUACCGGUGGCGAAGGCGGCCCCCUGGACAAAGACUGACGCUCAGGUGCGAAAGCGUGGGGAGC
rnacentral:rRNA from 1 species